UACACUACUGCAAACAUCGCGCACAUAGAACUUUUCUAGCAGGUGGGACUCUGAAGUGUACGGCGGAAAAAUUGGCUCGAAAAGUUAGCAUGUGUCAAGUACAGAGUUACAUGACUCUGAGGUAAAUAGUUACAAAAAUGAAUCUAUUAAGUUAGCAUGAUAAUGUAAGCAAGUAACACGUAUCAAGUUAAAUAUAAUUCACUAAGUUAUAUGACUUUCACGUUUAUGGCGGGAAAAGGGGCUCGAAAAGUUAGCAUGUGUCAAGUACCGAGUUACAUGACUCUGAGGUAAAUAGUUACAAAAAUGAAUCUAUUAAGUUAGCAUGAUAAUGUAAGCAAGUAACACGUAUCAAGUUAAAUAUAAUUCACUAAGUUAUAUGACUUUCACGUUUAUGGCGGGAAAAGGGGCUCGAAAAGUUAGCAUGUGUCAAGUACCGAGUUACAUGACUCUGAGGUAAAUAGUUACAAAAAUGAAUCUAUUAAGUUAGCAUGAUAAUGUAAGCAAGUAACACGUAUCAAGUAAAAUAUAAUUCACUAAGUUAUAUGACUUUGACGUUUAUGGCGGGAAAAUUGGCUCACAAAGUUAGCAUGUGUCAAGUACCGAGUUACAUGACUCUGAGGUAAAUAGUUGCAAACUGAGCCUAUUAAGUUAGCAUGCUAACAGUUAGCAAGUAACACGUACCAAGUAAUAUGACUGUGAAGUGUACGGCGACAAAAUUGGCUCGAAAAGUUAGCAUAUGUCAAGUACCAAGUUACAUGACUCUGAGGUAAAUCGUUGCAAAACUGAAUCUAUUAAGUUAGCAUGAUAAUGUAAGCAAGUAACACGCAUCAAGUUAAAUAUAAUUCACUAAGUUAUAUGACUUUGACGUUUAUGGCGGGAAAAUGGGCUCAAAAAGUUAGCAUGUGUCAAGUACCAAGUUACAUGACUCUGAGGUAAAUAGUUACAAAACUGAAUCUAUUAAGUUAGCAUGAUAAUGUAAGCAAGUAACAUGUAUCAAGUUAAAUAUAAUUCACUAAAUUCACUAAGUUAUAUGACUUUGACGUUUAUGGCGGGAAAAGGGGCUCAAAAAGUUAGCAUGUGUCAAGUACCGAGUUACAUGACUCUGAGGUAAAUAGUUGCAAAACUGAAUCUAUUAAGUUAGCAUGAUAAUGUAAGCAAGUAACACGUAUCAAUUAAAAUAUAAUUCACUAAAUUCACUAAGUUAUAUGACUUUGACGUUUAUGGCGGGAAAAGGGGCUCGAAAAGUUAGCAUGUGUCAAGUACUCAGUUACAUGACUCUGAGGUAAAUAGUUGCAAAACUGAAUCCAUUAAGUUAGCAUGAUAAUGUAAGCAAGUAACACGCAUCAAGUAAAAUAUAAUUCACUAAGUUAUAUGACUUUGACGUUUAUGGCAGGAAAAGGGGCUCACAAAGUUAGCAUAUGUCAAGUACCGGGUUACAUGACUCUGAGGUAAAUAGUUGCAAACUGAGCCUAUUAAGUUAGCAUGCUAACAGUUAGCAAGUAACACGUACCAAGUAAUAUGACUGUGAAGUGUACGGCGACAAAAUUGGCUCAAAAAGGUAGCAUGUGUCAAGUAGUAAAUGGAAUAAUUGGUUUUGAAAUUAGCCAAACAGUUUUCAUGCUAACAUUGGCAUGCUAUCAUGCUAACAGUAAUAUGCUAACAGUUAGCAAGUGUCACGUACCAAGUUUUAUGAUUCUGGAGUAAAUGGUUGUAAAAUUAGCCAAACGGUUUUCGUGCAAACAUUGGCAUGCUAUCAUGCUAACAAUAAUAUGCUAACAGUUAGCAAGUGUCACGUACCAAGUUUUAUGAUUCUGGAGUAAAUGGUUGUAAAAUUAGCCAAACAGUUUUCAUGCUAAUAUGGGCAUGCUAUCAUGCUAACAAUAACAUGCUACAGUAAAUGGUUGUAAAAUUAGCCAAAACGUUUUCAUGCUAACAUUGGCAUGCUAUCAUGCUAACAAUAUCAUGCUAACAAUUAGCAAGUGUCACGUACCAAGUUUUAUGACUUUAGAGUUAAUGGUUGUAAAAUUAGCCAAACAGUUUUCAUGCAAACAUUGGCAUGCUAUCAUGCUAACAAUAAUAUGCUAACAGUUAGCAAGUGUCACGUACCAAGUUUUAUGAUUCUGGAGUAAAUGGCUGUAAAAUUAGCCAAACAGUUUUCAUGCAAACAUUGGCAUGCUAUCAUGCUAACAAUAUCAUGCUAACAGUUAGCAAGUUUCACGUACCAAGUUUUAUGAUUCUGAAGUAAAUGGCUGUAAAAUUAGCCAAACAGUUUUCAUGCAAAUAUUGGCAUGCUAUCAUGCUAACAAUAACAUGCUAACAGUUAGCAAGUGUCACAUACCAAGUUAUAUGAUUCUGAAGUGUACGGUGGCUGAAUUGGCUAACAAGUUAGCAUAUGUCAAGUGCUAAAUGAUAUAACUCUGGGGUAAAUGGUUGCAAACUUAGCCAAAAAAAGUUAGCAUGUUAACAAUUAACGUGUUAGUAUGAAGUUAGCGGGGGUUGGGCGGCACUGUCCGAAUAAAAUUGUGAUAUUACAAAAA